GGCGGAAGCUAAACAUAACAUGAAAAGCCACAAUUUACAGUUACAACCAGACCUUAAGCAGGCCUACCUAGAAGUAAGUCGAAAUGAGUUGAAGAGCACUUAUUUUCUGGAAAGGAUGGUUAGAAUCUCACCCUAGGUAAAUGCGGGACGGAGCACGUCUGAGAUGGAGAUGAAAAGGAAGACGAGGGAGCGUCAGGGAGACUUACGGGACACAUGAGAGAGAGAAGCAUACAGAGACUUAUUUGACGAUGGCCUGAGGACCGGCGUAAUGAGAAAAGGCCUGAGCCAGGCAAGGAGAAAUAACAGGGGUGGAAGGAUUGGGAUGCGGGAGGGAGAUAUGCAGGUGGCCAGUUUGGAAUAUUCUUGUGAGCUACAAACAAGUGGAGACAAUGAGAAGGCAGCGUCCGGUGACGGGGAAAGAAGAACAGAGGCAAUGGGGUCCCCGAGGCUCGCUCUCCCCGCCCCUACCCGGCAGUCCUCCCUACACUCACAAGGGGAAAGUGAGCUCUGUCUUAAGUCGGAACGGCGGGGAGGUAGAGAAGACGGAAAAGGCAGAGCCUCAACCCGUCUAGAAACGUGCCUGGGCUCGAGAGAGGAAGGCAAGCCGAAUUCUCCCAAUUCCUCUCCGCCACAGUUCAGUUUCGUUUCCCGGCAGCACGGCACAGGAAUAGGCCCUUCCUUCAUGUGCGGCGCACACUAAUGACGCAAGAAAGGGGGUGAGGAAGAGUGGCAAGGGCGGGCGCCAAUCUCUGCGCCCCCUCGUGUCGGGCGGCUGGAAGCUGGGCUGAGCAGAAAUUGACCGUGGAGCAGGUGGCAAUUCAGACCCAUCAUGGUACAUCCAGCAACGAAGGAGAAAAGUGAAUACCACUUUUUAAAAAAACUUAUCUUUUUGUUCCCCACUUUGUACGAUGAGAACUUCAUAAAAUUUGGCUGUUGGUCUUGGAUGCAUUUCUGUCAGACCCAAAGGAAAUAUCCCCCUCAUGUGCCCACAUUGACUUGGAUCAUGCUAUGCAUGUAUGUAAGUGGGGUUUGUCGGACAAAAGCAAGCUACAUUGAAGAGACAGGAGGAGUCAGGGUACUGGAACACCUGAAGAUCACCAAAUUUUUAGAAAGUAGACUCUCCACUGCCACAGGAAGACACAGUUGGACCUACAUUUAAAAAUAUCUCUUCUGGCUAUAUAACAACAUUAUGGUCAGGGAAAGAGAAAAAUGCUGGCUCUACUGCCCAAGACCGCUCAGGAACAGCAGAGACCAUGAGCUCUGGUCAAAACCUAGGAGGAUUCUCAUCCGCAGAAAGGACAUCAAGACUGCUGACCCUGCCAACAAUCGGAGAAGUUAAUUAUUUGCUGCUUACUCUCCUGCCACCUGACUAAGAAAAGGAACUUCCCUCCUUCCUUUCAGCACAAAGGGGAAAACUAGAAGAGUCGCAAAUUAGGGGUGGGAAAAAGACAAUAUAUAUUUGACAAAACAGAACAGACCAAAAACAGAUGUACAACAUGAAUACACAUUUUAACAGAUGAAGCCUCUCUAAUCUCUAUGCUCUGGAGAGGUGUCCUCAAAUUUUCCACUGAAAAUUCCAGGUCAGUGACUGAAUGGUUAACAUCUAUAAGCACUCCAAAACAAAUACAUGUAUUCUGAGCCAGCUUUAUAGGCACAGGAAGCCCAGUCUUGCAUGUUAUUGGUGCAAACCAGGGGUUGGGAACCUGUGGCCUUCCACACAUUGUAGACAUUGUAGUCCAGCAACUCCCAUCAUCCCCUGCCAUUGGCCAAGGUGGCUGGGGCUGAUGAAAUUUGGAGUCCAACAUCUGGAUGGGCACAGGUGCUACUUGUAUAAACCCACAAUUUAAAAAUAAUUGAUGCACUAGCAAAGAACUUACAAAUAGGUUUGGCCAAAUCGACGCCACAGCACUAGCCAGUUAAUAUGGGAAGUGGUAUUUUUUAAUAUGACAAGGAGCCUUUUCUACCAACAGAUAUAACUGGUUUGUAUUUUGAUUCUCAGAGCAGAUGUUUGGUUUCUUUUUGGUUCUUAGGGCUGCUUCUUCACCCACUAGUUUCCCACAGAAAUAUCAAUUCAGUAUACAAAACCAAAAUGUGUAUACUAUUGCAUAUGUCAAGUAAACAUAUUGUUAUUUCACAAUGUAUACACACUGUAAAAUAGACACCAGUUGUCACAUGGCAGUAUGCAUAUGGUUCCCCUAUGCAGAGGCUAUAUCACACAGGGAAUAGCAACAGGGAGAGUAGAGCAGAACACCCAGAAAAGUAGCCUCGCCUCCCUCUUCUGUAAUGAGUGUUCAUUUUUACAAUGGCUAAACAGUUGAAAUCAAGAGAAGUAGGUAUACCAUCACUAGCAAUGAAGAUUGCCUUGUUUAGCCUCUUCUAAUCUUGUUCCAACUCAU